GGCGCCUGCCGUGGCAAUCAUGUCCCCGGGCCGACCACGUUCGAGCAGAUAACAUGGGCGGCCCAGCUGGAGCCCAAAGUGGGUCCUCAGUGGGGCGGCCCUUUGCGCCGAUGGAAAAAGGAGGCGGCCGGCCGGGUCGGUGGCCGGAUUCUCCCGAAUAAAGAAUCUGAUAGAUAUUCAAAGGGAGACCCGCUUCGUGGUGAGGCCCACGGCCCGCUGGGGGAGUCCACCAUGGUCAACGGGGGGACGAUAAUAACGGUGC
rnacentral:lncRNA from 1 species